rnacentral:rRNA from 1 species
UCAGUCAGCGCAGCGUAAUAAUAGAAACUAACCAGGAUUCCCUUAGUAACGGCGAGUGAACUGGGAUGCCAAUAUAUAGUAUGUACCUCAUGUGCAUAAAUUAGCCCGUCGAUACCAUCCUAGCGUAUGUCACCGGUCUUCGGGUCGGUACUCAAAUACGCGGGAAUUGUAGCAUCGUAAUAAUUAAAAAUAUACAGCACACACACACACACAUAAGAACCCACGCCAAUGCGUACACCACUUGUAAACACACAGCGUCUCCGCGUUGGAAAGCAAGUAUAUAUCCUCUUUGGAUAUGCCAGAGAGUGUGACAGCCACGUUUCACCCUUUAGUACGCACACACACACACACAUAUACCAAUGGCGCGGCGUGCGAGUGCACAACGUAUAUAUACUAUAACCUGAGUCGAGUUAUUUGGGACUAUAGCUCUAAUAGUUUGGUUGGUGGUAAUGACACAUCAAAGGCUAAAUAUUGGUUAGUCGAUGCAUAUUGCGGAGACCGAUAGCAUACAAGUACCGUAAGGGAACGAUGAAAAGCACCCUAUUGAGUUCACGGCGCAGACUCGAUACUCGUAUCUUGUCCAGCGCCCAACAACUACAGUGGGAGUGAAAGAGAGAGUGAAAUCGCCUAUACAUAUAAAACAUAUGCACUACACACAGUA